rnacentral:rRNA from 1 species
UGUAAGCGUAUACCAAAGUUGUUGCAGUUAAAACGCUCGUAGUCGGAAUUUGGCAGUUCCGGAUGUGUGCACGUCGUGUGCGCACUUCGCGGGGAUUGCUUUUGUGGUCUUGCGUAGGAUGAGGCACUUUUAUUAGUGAACGUCCUCACGCAACCACUUUUUACUGUGAGAAAAUCAGAGUGCUCAAAGCAGGCAUUUGCCGUGAAUGUAUUAGCAUGGAAUAAUAGAAUAGGACUUGGUUCUAUUUUGUUGGUUUGUUGGGACUGAGUAAUGAUUAAGAGGGACAGUUGGGGGCAUUUGUAUUUCGGUGCUAGAGGUGGAAUUCUUAGAUUACCGAAAGACAAACUGCUGCGAAAGCGUCUGCCAAGGAUGUUCUCAUUGA